rnacentral:tRNA from 1 species
GAGGGUGUAGCUCAGUGGUAAAGCACAUGUACAAGGUCCUGGGUUCAAUCCCCAGUACCUCCA